GGAUGGGGAGUUUUCAGUACAUUGGAGUUUUGCUAAAACUGGAUUAAAAAGGCCAAGGACAGAGCCCAAGGUCAGGAACCUCGUCAGAAAAAACCCAGAGGAGCCUGGUUCAAGUUUGGUCAUGGAAAGAGCCUUUGUCAGUGGUUCAAGAGUGAAGAAUAUGAACUCUAUGAAGACAGACACUUCAUUUUUGGUACUCCUUGGUUAGACCAUCGUGUGAAAAAGGAUCACAAAAAUAUGUUCCUCAAGCAGCAAAUGUAGUUGAAACCAGCAGUAAGUUCACCAGCAGCAAUCAAACAAGAAAGAAUUUAAAAGCCCAAGCAUGCCAUUUUAUUUGUUAAAGCUCUCCAGUACAGCCUGGCUCACACAUGACCACUGUAUGCCCCAUAUUUUUCAAAAUAGCUUUCUAUAGCAGUAAUGUGACCCACAAAAGCCUGCAGCAGUUUCUUCAUUCAAGGGAACUAUAGUGACAGUUUGACCCUGAAAUCCUUGGAAAUCCAUUAAGUAAUUAGUGCUCCAACUUCUGGGGCUUCCCAGGUGGUGCUAGUAUUAAAGAACCCUCCUGCCAAUGUAGGAGAUGUAAGAGACGUGGAUUUGAUUCUUCAGUUGGGAGGAUCCCCUGGAGGAAGGCAUGGUAACCCACUCCAGUAUUCUUGCUU
rnacentral:lncRNA from 1 species